AUUCACUUUUUCCACAAAUGGGUAACUCUAAGGGAGCUUUCACAGUACUUGAGUUGUCACCUAUGGAAAAAAAACAAGCACAUCGCUAGGUGGUUCUAAAUUGUCCAUAUGUCAAACCGUUCAUUGAUGACUUCAAAGAUUUUAUACGAAGACGAUCUAAGGGUAGAAGGCCUUCAAAUGUAGAGAUAGAAAAAAGAGUCAAUAAAGAUUUUGUUACUUGGUUUCCUAUGCAGCUUAUGAACCCAGACGUUAUGAAUACUGUGCAUGAGGAUUUGAGAUACUUAGCAAGGGGUCCAUCACGAUAUGCCAAGAGGUUUUCUACAUUUAGUAUCAAUGGGUUCUCCUUUCGAACUACCAAUCGAGACAAUGGGUUAAAGACCCAGAAUAGUGGAGUUUUCUUAAUGUCUUCAACUCCUUGUAUUUCUAGCACUAGUGAUGCUAAUGUUAGGAAUGCUGAUUUGUCAUAUUAUGGCAAAUUAGAAGAUAUUAUAGAACUAAACUACAAUGGCCGAUUUUGGGUUACUUUAUUCAAAUGUAAAUGGCCUA